rnacentral:lncRNA from 1 species
AUCACGAGCCCUGUGAACAGGACACAAGCUCAGGGAAGGGUCUUUGUAGUUACUUGUAGUUUUUUUCUCUUGCUUGUGUCUGCCCUUCCCUUGGUGUGGCAUCGAAGACAUCCUGAGCAUGAUGCAAGUCAACCUUUGCAGCUCUGCACUUGCCUGCUGUUGCGACACCCAGAGAUGCACGUGGAAAAGCAGACGCUUCCUGCUACCAUCUGAGUUUGGGUGCGCACAUUUCCAAGUUUGGUUGCAGCUGGCUAUGCUGUGCCCUGCAUCAGCCUCCAGAGAGCCUGUGUCACAGGAGAGGAAACCUUUCAGCUGGAGAAGUCAGCCACUGUUCAAGCUUGACCCAGAUUCUGAGACCUUGGUCUCCUUCCUGUGCCACCUCUUGUCUGAGCUGAGGCCUCCUCCCACAUGGAGAAAGGAGCUCCAAAAAUCAAUGGUCAAUCUGUUCUUCUUCAACCCUUGUCGAUCCUUGCUAAGAGAGGGUGUGAGACAUCCCCCCCUACAAGUCAUGACUUAGGUGAACCACAGGAUCAUCUUUUCAUGAUGGCUUUAAAAAAGGAAGGCUUUACCUUCCUUUGCUUCAGCCUUUCAGUGAUCCUUUCAGAUCCCACAUGUGUUUGUGACCAUUCCUGAGCCCAAAGCUGGAAUUUCUAAAGUGCUACCAGCAGCAGCCCCAAGCAAAAUAAUGGAUGACUAAGAGCAGAAGGAAGCACUAUGUGCUCACAGAGUGGAGAACUGCAUGUGCAGACAGCUGCAGACUCCAAACUGUGAAUCCCUACUACCAGACUCUGAGCUCCUGAAGCUGAUUUUACCACUUCAAUAAUAAGGGAAAAUUAUGUGGAUUGGUAGCAGAAGAGUUAUAUGGUGAGUGGAGAGGAAUACAUCUCCAGAGCCACGUUACUGCUUCAGACACGGCUGCAGCAGGCGACAGCGCCCAGCUCUCCCAGCACAGACAGCUACAAUGAAUGACCCAAGAGGCCCUGGUAAAAAUUAAUUGAGUUAAUUAAUUGAGCAUCUGUGGCAUGGUUAUUUUCUCUGCGUGUCCUGGCUCUUAGUCCUCAUUUCUGAGGGGAGAAAGUGCCAUUGAAUCAAUUUAUUGGCAGUGCUGGUUCCCUGAGGCAGAGGUUGUCACCCUCAGUGUCCUGGAGGCUCUGAGAUGCUCAUUGCAGGUGCCUGAGCCUCACCUGGGACUGGGCACUGUUUGACCUUGUGGCAAGGUUUUCUAUAUGCAGAGAACAGGGAGAAGGAAAUAUUCUGGAGAGUUUCUAUGCUAAUGUUCACUGGAGAUGACAUUGUCUUCCCUCCAACUGCUGCGAGCCCAGGAUGGGACAUGCUGCUGAGGGCACCUGUAUGGGGUAGGGCAGGCUCAGUGCACAAUGUUCCUCAAGACCCUUUAAAAAUUAUGUAAACUCAGUUCUUCGAUUUCCUUUUGUUAUGUGCAGCAGGUCAGGUCCUGCUCUGGAAGUCACUGCGUUGUGGAUCAGCCACGUAGCUGAUGGAAACGCUGCUGCUGGCCCGUGGAAGAGUUUUAUUUUUCAGCCAACACAUACAGGAAAGAAUAAGGCUUUAUUUUCUUAGCCAUCACUUUUUGCAGCCUAUGUCAAGCUAACAAUGGCCGGGUAUUCCUCUGAGGUUGUAGAAUAAGUUCAUUCAUGCUCUUCUUUCCCUCUGUUGUAAGAAAAAUCUACUGAGCUUCUCUUAGCUUUUGAGGUGGAGUCUGUGGCAUGGCACCAGCAGCCAAGCACUGCUCUGGUCAAACAUUAAGGCAAUGCCCUUUGUGUUCCCUCAGCCACAUAGAUGCAGAGAAAGGGAAAUGUCAGUGGGAGCCUUUUGUUGGCUCCUCCUCACCAAGGGAGCCCCCGUCUCUCCCUCCUUGCUGCCUUUGCUUAGCUCUGUAUUUUCCACCAUGGACAGUGCAGGGAGUAGUGGCCACCUUCCCACGGAGUGAGAGCUGAAUCACUGCCCCACACUGAGCACAAGGGGCACCAGGGCUGCUGGAGAUGCUGCUCUGGAGAUGCUGGAAGCUCAGUCUGUAUUAGUGUGGGGAUGGAUGGGGGAUGUCACUUGGCACCUAGUGGUGGCCUGUUGUGGUGUGGCAUUGAGGUACAGCAGAAGCUGGGGAGGAGAUGAUAAAGUGACAUUUGUGUCUUUGGAAAGAGAGGCAGCCAAAGAUUCACCUGACUCCCUGAGAGGGGGCUUGGUGGAGGAGUCUGGAUGCUAUCCCAAAACUGGUUUCAAGAGACGAGUGAUGGCCAUAUUGCCAGCAUGGCUGUGGGACAAGGGCAGCAGCACUGCUGUAAACAGCUUUACCUGCCAGGAGCACAGUGCUUUAGGAAGUAUGGCCAAGCAUUGGGAAAACCUUGCAGGACUUUCAGGGAAAAUGUUGUUGAGAAUGUGACCAUCCUGGAGAGCCCCAGGGACAGCAGUUGUGUAUCUACAGCUGCAGGAAGAGGUGGACACACACUGACAUGAGACUGGGCCCAGUUACAGUCCAAAUGUCAGAGCUCAUUAGCAACAUUGAAAUCCUGGUGGCCAGACAUAGCUGAAAAGCAGAUCUCAGCAAAAAUUAGAUUAACCCAUGGGCAGUGGGACUUUCCAGGUCUGAGGAAAUAUUUUAUCUUGACUCAUCUGGGCCAAACUCAUGGGCACAUCCCAUUUGCUUUGCUGACAGCCAGGUCUGCUCUGGCCUGGAGGGGCAGUCCACAAGUAGGAAUCACACCUGGGGAGGAGAAAGACACACAGGAAUGGUUGAGGAAUGAACAAGAAAUCUCUCUUUUCAGCAGGUUGGGGACCUAUUCUUUGGUGUCCAAAAGCAGAGCAGCCUCUUGUCCUUAAUUCCUCCCCAGUUCUCCCAUCACAGUAUGACCAGUAUGAAUGGCAGCAGUUGGAAGACUGAAAUAGCAGCUACCAUUGCUUAGGCCCCACUGAUUUGUCCUGUGGUUUUUCCAUGUCCUUUAAUCUCCAGUAAAUAAUCUCUCACUUCCUUGUGGUCUUUCUAAUUCCAUGCUCUGUGCUGGUGCUUCCUGUAAACAGCAGAGCUGGUGGCCCAUGCGUGGCCACCCCGUGUAAUUGAGGCUCUCCCCUGCUGUGCAAAGGGCAUGUGACAGGGCUGUUUGUCAGGCUGGAUGGGGCUGUGUCCAUGGGAUAAAUCAUGGAAAUGCCAGAUUCUCCUCUCCAUCGAGCCAGGAGAAGUCAGGGCUGGUUCUGUUGAGGCCAUUGGAUCAUACAGGUGUAAAACCAGCACGUGUCAGAACAUCAGACACUCAAUGAAUUGCACCAUUUUUUUCUGGCACCACGAUUUCUGGCUCCUAGAAAUCAUGAUUGAGCCAGUGUUUGAAAGAAAAACUGGGCUAAAUUAUAGACAAUGAGGUCCCUCCAGCACAUGUUGGCACUGGUACUUGGUCUCUGGUGCAGCAGCUAUGUUCCAUGUAGAAGUUGUGACCAGACCUUGCUCAGCCCUUAAUUGCCACAUCUGUGGUUUAAAAUUCUGGGUGGAGAACUAAAAUAAAAGGAAAAUAUUAAGUGUCUGUGCUGAAUGAAGGCCAUUCCUGACACUGAUCUUGUAGGUAAGAGGCCACCAGGCCCUCCAGGAAGAGCAAGAGAGGCUGAGAAGGCAUUUUUCUGAUCAAAAUGUCUUCAGCUGCUCUACAGGGGCAGGAGCUGUAAGAUUUAUUUAUCAGAUACCCAUCCUCAAACCUAAGAGCAUUUAUUUUUCCCAGUAAAUUUGUGUUAAACCAGUGUUGGAUCACAGAGGGUUGUGAUAAGAGCUGGGCUGCACUUUUUGGGUGGCACAGCUUUUCCUCCUAUCUGAAAUCUCCUCUCUCUGGGUUUCUGCUGACCAACUGAUCCCUCCACAGAUACCUGAGCAUCCAACAAACUAUUUCUGCAGGGACUUCUCUGCUUCCAACAGAUCUUGGGCUCUCACCUGUGCCUGUCCCGGCCAUCCUUCUGCAGGGGGCACCUGCACAUGCCUGGCUGGAAGAUGACAGUGUGAGAGUGUUUUUGGAGGUCCUGGUGCAGUCAGAUGGGUGCAAUCUUCCAGCCCUGACAACAUUUACAACUUGCAAUGUCAGUGCUGAGAUAUUUACACAACCAUGGGAGGGAUCCCUCAACCCUCUACACGUGCUCCUUUCCAGCACAGCUGUUUUCAGGAAUCUCCAGGUUUCAAUCCACUGGCUAUUUCAACAAAGUCCAAAUUUAUUUAUUUUCUUUUCAUAGCUCCCAGCAGCCAAGCUGUGACAGCCAAGGGAAUCCUGCUCAGUCUUUCAGCAUUAAUGUCUCAAUUAUCAAGCACUGCCUUCUUCCACAUGGGGAUUGAAUGUGUGUGUGUUGGAACUCCUUGAAGUAUUUUCUAGAGCUGAAGUGUAAGCAGGGACUCAGUUUGGAGUGGCAUUGGAGAUGCUCAAAAAAGUGCUAUGAGGUAAAGUCCAGCCUCAUUCAAUGCCACUUAAUGUCUGUCACCUUGUUUAGAAUGGGACAGCAGAGCUGAGUUUUUCCUUUAAUGCUAAUGGCCCAGCUGUAUCUCACAUUGGUGCUUUUAUCCCAGGAAUUGCAUGGAUCCUGCAGCUGGCUCAUGUCCUGAGUGCCCAUCCUACUCCUCAUGCUCUGCUGUUGGCUCAGGGAAUUCAGGAGAGCUGAUGCUGAUGCAAGGCAGCAGGUGGGAAGUUUGGGUUUCUGGCUGCUCACACAACUCCAGAAUGACCGAAUAUUUGCAGGAGCAAACCCAGAGCAUCCCAUGGAGAUCAGAUGGGGAACAUAAUUUCCUUGCCUCUUGGAGAACUGGGAAUUGCUGGGUUUUUUCAUUGUCACCUUUCCCUUGCAAAGUAGAUGGCACAUUGUCACCAGGCUGGGCUGUUUUGGCUGGAGCAGCGUUAUGCACAAUUAGACUAAAGCAAAACUCCUACGAGCUGUUUGAUGGUUCACUGAGCCCUCCCAAAAGUGUCACAGGUGGGGAUGAAACUCACCCAUCCUGUCUGCAUUUCUGCCCGUGCUCCUGGGUCUCCCUGGCCUCGGGCUGACCAUGUGCCUCCCCCACUCGGUUUGCUCUCACAAUGGGGAUGUGAGAAGCCUCCAGAGGAACAGAAAGGCUUUGCCCAGGCAGCAGUAGGAGCCCUUCAAACCUGCAGCCAAUAAUCGUUGCCUGGAGCUGGUCCCUUUGGCUCCAGGCACUGCUGAAUUUGCUGGUGGAGAAAACCACUGCUUUGGAUCAAAGCACUGUUAAAGGAGACUUCACAAAAGUGUAUAGCUCAUGGUCAAGAAGAGCUGCCAGACUCCUGCUUUCUCAGUAACUAAUAAAAGUGCUUUUUAACACAAUUAAUGUGAUGUCCUGCUAAAGACCGAGGGAAAUUGGAAUUGAGACAUUUGUAUUUUGACAGACUUUGUGGAAAACUUCUGUUCAGACUGGUAGGAAUGAAACCAAUAAAUUUCUGAAGAAACUUUCUGAAUUCAGCCUUCAAGAUAAUAGAUAGGCUGUUCUGACUGUGGAUAAAUAAACUCUGUUUUUAUAAGUGCCCAAAGACCUUCAGGAUGACGAAGUGGAACAUACUUCAAGUCUCCAAAGAUGGGAAGUGGCUUCUGAGUCAAAUGCCCUCCCAUGCCAGGGCUCGUAUUUUAGACUGAGAUCACUCUUUUGUGACUUGUUGACAGGUUUUUUGUUGUACUUUGAAAAAAAAAAAAAAAAAA